rnacentral:rRNA from 1 species
UACGUAGGGGGCAAGCGUUGUUCGGAAUUACUGGGCGUAAAGGGCGCGUAGGCGGCACGGCAAGUCAGGAGUGAAAGCCCUGGGCUCAACCCGGGAACUGCUUUUGAAACUGCCGAGCUAGAGUGCGGAAGGGGCAACUGGAAUUCCCAGUGUAGCGGUGAAAUGCGUAGAUAUUGGGAAGAACACCUGAGGCGAAGGCGGGUUGCUGGGCCGACACUGACGCUGAGGCGCGAAAGCGUGGGUAGCAAACAGG